CCCCUAGAUGUUCUGGGCCGCACGCGCGCUACACUGAACAGUUCAACAAGUCUUAACCUUGGCCGAUAGGUCUGGGUAAUCUUUGAACGCUGUUCGUGAUUGGGAUAGACCUUUGCAAUUAUGGGUCUUCAACGAGGAAUUCCUAGUAAACGCAAGUCAUCAGCUUGCAUUGAUUACGUCCCUGCCCUUUGUACACACCGCCCGUCGCACCUACCGAUUGAAUGGUCCGGUGAAAUCUCGGGACGGCGGCUUGGUCGCUUGCGUCCGACUGCUGAAACUUGAUUAAACCAUAUCAUUUAGAGGAAGGUGAGGUCGUANCA
rnacentral:rRNA from 1 species